rnacentral:rRNA from 1 species
GAUGAACGCUGGCGGCGUGCCUAACACAUGCAAGUCGAGCGAACGGACGAGAAGCUUGCUUUUCUGAUGUUAGCGGCGGACGGGUGAGUAACACGUGGAUACCCUACCUAUAAGACUGGGAUCACUUCGGGAAACCGGCGCUAAUACCGGAUAAUCUUUUGAACCGCAUGGGUCAAAAGUGAAAGACGGUCUUGCUGUCACUUAUAGAGGGUUCCGCGCUGCAUUAGCUAGUUGGUAAGGUCAAGGCUUACCAAGGCAACGAUGCAUAGCCGACCGGAGAGGGUGGUCGCCCACACGGGAGCGUAGCCACCGUCCAUACUCCUACGGGAGGCAGCAGUAGGGAAUCUUCCGCAAUGGGCGAAAGCCUGACGGAGCAACGCCGCGUGUGUUAUGACGGUCUUCGGAUCGUAAAACUCUGUUAUUAGUGAAGAACAUAUGUGUAAGUAACUGUGCACAGCGUGACGGUACCUAAUCAGAAAGCCACGGCUAACUACGUG